rnacentral:lncRNA from 1 species
GGGAGCACAUUUUUCCCGAAUGAGUUUGAUGCAGCAAUUAUGUGCGAAUAAUCGUCCCUAAGCUGGACUAAUUGAAUCAACCUAGCCCAUGGUUCUGCUAGAUGAUGAGCAAAGUUACCUGAAUCGGCUACAAGUACCUGAAUACAAUAAAAUAAACCUUCCAAAAUCAUUAUCGUAAACCAGGACGCUAAUGAAAUUUGGGAAAUGAGAGAAGUAUAGAGUUUCAAGAGGGGAAGAAGGUCAAAGAUGCCUGAGAGAUCAAAGGGUGGCAAGAAGCAGCAUGUGCGGCGGCGUCUUGAACGGAAGUCCCUGUCCCGGCCAACAGCACGGAGACGGAGUUGCCCUCGCCCAGACACUUGGAAGCUUCUACCGCGCUCAAAGUCGGAGGCUUUACCACGCCUCCUUCGUGCUCGCCGAUCACCAACGUGCUAAUCUAUUUGGUUCACGAAUGAUUGGAGAUUACAAAAAGCAAGUGAUUCAACUGACGGUCAGAUAAAGGAAGGGAUUAAAGCAAGGAAAAAUCUAGCAAACCAGAAGCCAAUAUCAGAUGCUGUGUGUAAUUAAGUAAUUUGGUAUAGAGAUAAGGAGGUCCUACGGAUCGAGAAAUGGAGACAAUCGAUGAGAAGCGUGGCCGGAGAGACGCUCUGAUAGUGACAGCUCGAGCAAUCGCCAUGUGUUUGUUAGACGGAAUACCUCUCUUCGUCUCGUUUGCCCAGAUAGCUCCCAGAUUCAGAUACUGAAAUAAAAAAACCCCAUCCCCAUCCUAAAAGACUCUACUAGUAGAACCAAUCCAUACAUUUCUAACUCAAUGUUCCCACUAACCACCAUACAUAACUAUAAAAUCAACAACAUUCAUCACCAAUAAACCCAUAAAUGAAAUGAUCCACUGAUACCACCCACUGUAUUAUCUACCUACAUCACCAGGCAAUCACGAAGAAUAAGACAGUUCUCUCAAUCCAUA